AUUGAACGCUGGCGGCAUGCUUUACACAUGCAAGUCGAACGGGGUGAGGGGGCAACCUCUCACUCAGUGGCGAACGGGUGAGUAAUACAUCGGAACGUGUCCCGUAGUGGGGGAUAACGCCGCGAAAGCGGCGCUAAUACCGCAUACGACCUGAGGGUGAAAGCGGGGGACCGUAAGGCCUCGCGCGAUUGGAGCGGCCGAUAUCAGAUUAGCUAGUUGGUGGGGUAAAAGCCCACCAAGGCGACGGUCUGUAGCUGGUCUGAGAGGACGACCAGCCACACUGGGACUGAGACACGGCCCAGACUCCUACGGGAGGCAGCAGUGGGGAAUUUUGGACAAUGGACGCAAGUCUGAUCCAGCCAUGCCGCGUGCGGGAAGAAGGCCUUCGGGUUGUAAACCGCUUUUGUCAGGGAAGAAACGAGUUUCUCUAAUACAGAGACUUAAUGACGGUACCUGUAGAAUAAGCACCGGCUAACUACGUGCCAGCCGCCGCAGUAACAC
rnacentral:rRNA from 1 species